CCGGCCGGGGGGCGGUUGCCGCCGCCGGUGUUCGCGCCCUCGGCGGUCGUCGGGCGCAGCGACACGGCCCGG
rnacentral:tRNA from 1 species